rnacentral:rRNA from 1 species
UACGUAGGGCGCAAGCGUUAUCCGGAAUUAUUGGGCGUAAAGAGCUCGUAGGCGGUUUGUCGCGUCUGCCGUGAAAGUCCGGGGCUCAACUCCGGAUCUGCGGUGGGUACGGGCAGACUAGAGUGAUGUAGGGGAGACUGGAAUUCCUGGUGUAGCGGUGAAAUGCGCAGAUAUCAGGAGGAAUACCGGUGGCGAAGGCGGCAUCCGGGACCGACAUUGACGCUGAGGAGCGAAAGCUAGGGGAGCAAACGGG